CGAAGGUGAAGGAGGGAAAAAGAAGGCGAAGGAGGAAGAAAGAAGGAGGCAAAGAGGGCGAGGUUAAUUAACCCACUUACCAACCUCGCAUUCACCGGGCCUGGAUCAAUCGAGCCGCGCAGCGCUUCCGCAGAGCCCCUUCCCUCUGUGCAAUUUAACUACGGAUUUGCUCACCGGGUGCAAAGCGAGAACGAUUCCUCUCUCGUGCGUCGCUGGGGCAGAGGCACUUCUGGAAGGGCUCUUCAUCUAUGGGAAUCCUCGGCCCUGCGAAGGGAAAGGUGUAGAAAUUGGGGUUAGAGGUCCCAUCCUCCCCAGAAGGAUUGGAGGAUCGUACGCUAAUGUGGAUCAUGUCCUGAUGGUCCAAAAGAACCAAGAGGAUUGUGCAGAGAGAGAUGCAG